rnacentral:rRNA from 1 species
AUUGAACGCUGGCGGCAGGCCUAACACAUGCAAGUCGAGCGGGAGGCGGACGGGUGAGUAAUGUAUGGAGACUGCCCGAUAGAGGGGGCUAACUACUGGAAACGGUGGCUAAUAACGCAUACUAGCGGAUAACCCAUAUGGGAUUAGCUAGUCGGUGGGGUAAAGGCUCACCUAGGCGACGAGCUCUAGCUGGUCUGAGAGGAUGAUCAGCCACACUGGGACUGAGACACGGCCCAGACUCCUACGGGGGCAGCAGUGGGGAAUAUUGCACAAUGGGCGCAAGCCGGAUGCAGCCAUGCCGCGUGUAUGAAGAAGGCCUUAGGGUUGUAAAGUACUUUCAGCGGGGAGGCGUUACCCGCAGAAGAAGCACCGGCUAACUCCGUGCCAGCAGCCGCGGUAAUUC